rnacentral:rRNA from 1 species
UUGAACGCUGGCGGCAGGCCUAACACAUGCAAGUCGAGCGGAUGAAGGGAGCUUGCUCCUGGAUUCAGCGGCGGACGGGUGAGUAAUGCCUAGGAAUCUGCCUGGUAGUGGGGGAUAACGUCCGGAAACGGGCGCUAAUACCGCAUACGUCCUGAGGGAGAAAGUGGGGGAUCUUCGGACCUCACGCUAUCAGAUGAGCCUAGGUCGGAUUAGCUAGUUGGUGGGGUAAAGGCCUACCAAGGCGACGAUCCGUAACUGGUCUGAGAGGAUGAUCAGUCACACUGGAACUGAGACACGGUCCAGACUCCCACGGGAGGCAGCAGUGGGGAAUAUUGGACAAUGGGCGAAAGCCUGAUCCAGCCAUGCCGCGUGUGUGAAGAAGGUCUUCGGAUUGUAAAGCACUUUAAGUUGGGAGGAAGGGCAGUAAGUUAAUACCUUGCUGUUUUGACCUUACCAACAGAAUAAGCACCGGCUAACUUCGUG